UACGAAGGGGGCGAGCGUUGUUCGGAUUUACUGGGCGUAAAGGGCGCGCAGGCGGUCUUGAAAGUCAGGCGUGAAAGCCCCGGGCUUAACCUGGGAAUUGCGCUUGAUACUCUGAGACUGGAGUACGGGAGAGGAGAGUGGAAUUCCCAGUGUAGAGGUGAAAUUCGUAGAUAUUGGGAAGAACACCAGUGGCGAAGGCGGCUCUCUGGACCGUAACUGACGCUGAGGCGCGAAAGCUAGGGUAGCAAACGGG
rnacentral:rRNA from 1 species